UUCCUUUCUUUCCUGUGGUCAAGAGAACAAGCUGGCCAUAACAUCACAUAGCUCACAGUGGUGUCAGGCUGGCAUACAUCACUGCCCACAGUUUUGCCGGUGGCAGUUCAACCAAGAAGUGGUCUAAGUCCAGAGGGAGUUCAACCACAAAAUCUCAAGGAGGUCUUCUUCGUGGCAGAUGGGAGCAUUUUGGUCUCUGAAAAGAACUUCCCUUCCUUGGAACUGGUGAGCUGGAACUCUGGUUUACAUAGGAGCUUCCCGCAGACUUGUAAGCACAUCAGCCCUCAGGAGCCCUGACGCAACAUCAAGUUCAGGGUUUGUCAAGCUGAGGAUCAGACUGUGAAGUUCCUGGCAACCACAAAUCUACUCUCAGUAUGCAUUUGACUACUUUAGAUACCUCAGGACCAAAAGUCUGAAGUUGUGGAUCUAGAUAAAGGUAAGCAGUUAUAGCUUAGACUAGUGAGAGGAGGGAAAGAAAAAUAUAUGGAAAUAUUACAAGAACCGAUUUGGGGAGCAGCUGGGAGUGUUGAUCUGCCCCUCAGCUCACCACCCCUAACUUCGAGCCUGUGGGUGGCGCUCUCCCCAGUCAGAGUUCGAUGGGUCCAGUUCUGCUCAUCUCUGUUGCUUCUCUCCCUUUCUUCUGGAGCAGUGGACACAGCCUAGACCCGAGCCAUGGCUAGUGAUCUCCAGGUUAGCUUUGGGGCUACAGAGAGUCGAGGAUUGGAGAGAAACAGCAGGCAGAAAUGACUCAUUCUGACAGCAAGACCAAGAAGUUAGGAGCAACUAAAGUGAAAGUUUCAACUCCAUAAAUGCAAGCAGAAAUGCAAACAGCAAAAGGAAGAGCAGCAGCAUGAGCACUUGGGAGGGUGUUUAUGUAUUGUCUUCUGUAAUAAGAGGUAGCUGGCGUUUACAGAGCUUCAAGUAAGAGCCAGGAAUUAUGCUGAAGUUUCAUGUGUGAUUAUUCACUUAAUCUCUCAGCAACUCAUUGAAGUCAACAUUAAUCUCGUUGCCAUUUUACGGAUGCCAAAAUGGAGGCUAAGAGUAGGGUAGUGAUUUACCUAAACAGCUGAUAGGCGCUGGUGAUCGGAUUUAAAUCCCAGUAGUCUGGCUCUAGAGUUAAGAACUAUGUUAAGGAUAGAGAUAAUAUACUCUUACAGCAACUGCUUACUUACCUCUAAUAUACAUGUAAUUGCAAACUGAGCUAAGAAGGCUGAAGAGAAGGAUGCAACUUACAAGAUACUUUACCUAUGCUGCCAGAUGGAAGGAAAUUUAACUGGGAUGUGGAUACCAAGUUAGCUAGGUAGAUUCUGGAAGGAAAGAAGUCAAGGAGAGUUCCAGAUAUAGGAAUUAGCAUGUUCAAAGGUCCUGUGGGAGAAGAAAGAAUUCUGUAUAUAAGGAAAGCCAACAUAGCAAGAGUGGGGUGCUUCUGGAGACAGCAUGAGCCAGUGACAGAACCACCUGGUGGCUUAUGGAGAUUGAUUGAAAGGUGAUAAUUGCCAUUUCAUCUAGGAGUUCAGAUACAGAAAUGUUCUGGCAGGAAAGCUUCUUCUGGGAAUUCAGUGAGAUCAGUAUCUAACACUAUGCUUGCCCAUGGGCCAGUAUGUGUUCUGUUCUUCCUCUUCCAAUCCUUUCUGCUACAUCUCUGAUUCUGUGCCAUAGCCAGAAGUGAACAACAAUAUCCAGGUGGCACAAAGAGCUGGGGUGUAGUGGUCCCAGUUCUUCUACACUUUUUGUAGAGAGGUUUCCCUCCCCACUCCUUCCACCCCAGCCCAGACAACUCACCACAGUGGAGAGGCCAACAGCUGGAGUACAUUUGGCCCACACCAGGGGCACAGGCUUUCUCCACCCUGGGCUUUCCAAAAAAUGAUCUGUGUCUGUUAAAACUGAGGCGGGUGUCAGCUGUGUGCCCUUUUGGCACUGCCCUUUCACACUGUGCCAAAAAGGCACUGGAGGAUGCCUGCCACACAGGUGAUGGAGAGCUUGCUGUCUGGCUCACUCUCACUUUGUUUGUCUGGGUCUCAGCAUGGUGGCAAGGCCUCCAUCCAUCAUCAGAUCACCAAGCUUGGUUUGCCCACCUUUGGAGUCUCAAUCUGCUUUUUGGUUCUGUGAGUAUAAGAUUAUUCACUAAUAAUCAGAAGGUAACUUGGUUAUUCAACAAUGUCCUGGACCUGUAAGGAUUACAGGGAUCAAUCCUUGACCCUCAGAAAGAAAGAUAGCAAAUACUGAGAAUAUUAAAGAUACAACUUAGGAACAGCAGCAAAAAAGGAGAAUACAAGCAGCAUUUUGGGGAAGUCCUUCCAAAGCUCCCUCUAAACUGGAUGGCUCUGCAAGCUUAUGGCUGUAAUAGCAGAGUUGUCGCUUUGAAUGCUAAACACUGAAAAAAAUUCAACAGCAACACUUACCUGUGACCUGAUAUGGCCCAGCCUGCUGCACCUCCUGAGACCCCAGGAGAAGGGAUGCUAUUCUUGUUCUGGAGGGGAUCCCUAUGGAGUGGACAUUGACCACCUGCUACCUGGGUAUCUCCAAAGAUCCUAAUGGAGGUUCACCAAGGUGUAGAGGAUGCAGAGAAAAAGCCAGCCCCAUUGGUCUGGGGGGCAGGCAGAAGAAGCCUCAAAAGACUAUCUGGUCUCUAUGCCCCUUUUCAAAGGAACCUUGCCUAAGUCUCUCACUUGGAAGAUAAUUUGUUUGCAAAGCCUUUUGGCUUAAGGUUGCCUUUAUCUGCUUCUACAGCUGUCAUGCUACUGUGUGUCCAAGCCAGAGAGCCUCCAAUUGGGCUUAGUAGUAAUAGUUAACAUGUGUUGAGUUCUGCCAGGCUGUGUCCUGAGAAAGCCCCAUCUUAUUCAAUCAUAGACCAUCCCCAGUCUUAGACCAGAUGAGACAUCUGAGACUUGGAGGGUUAGAGACAGAGUCACAACCUAGAAAGUAAAGUGUGCAGCCUGCUGCUGAAGACUUUUGUUCUGAAAGGAGGUCAGCAAAGUUUUUAUGGCCCGCAGACACAUUUGACCAAUGCUUGAUUUUUUUUUCUUUCUUUCUUUUAUGGUACCAGGAAUCAAACUCAGGGCUUCACGCUUACCAGGCACGUGGUAUGCCCCUGAGCUACAUCCCUGGACCCCACUGCUUGAUUUUAUAAAUAAAGUUUUAAUGGGAUACAACUUUGCUGUUAUCUGUGGCUGCUCUCACUCUCCAGAGUCAGAGUUAGGUAGUGUGACAAUGACCAUAUGGCUCCCAAAGCCUAAAAUAAUUACCUUCUGACCUUGGUCAGGUAAAGCUUGCUGACCCCUGUUCUUGAUCACUACACUAAACAACUUCCCUGUUGUUAAAUCAGAGUGUCCCAGGGGCACAGAACACCUCUUUGCUCCCUGCCACCACCACCACCACUCCCGCCUCUAACUGGGAGGUGCCACAAGUGAUGGUUACACUUCAAAAGACCUUAAAAUGCUCACUUGACUAGAUAGACUUAAUCUGUGUUUAAACAAUCCUAAACCUCCUUCCAAAAGUGUAAAAAUCCAGGCGAAAAGCAUGUUUGCUACAACCUUCAUCAGGCCAGACCAAUCCCAGAGGUCAAGACUGAUGGUUCCAAGGUCAACUCUGAAUUGCAGUGCAAGCUACAUCUCUACUGACAGCUUUAAAAUGUGUUACUCCUGUGAGCAGCUCCACAGCAAGGUGCUGGGGAAGAGGGGACAGUAUAUCUUUCAGCACUUUGGAAACUGGAAAGUACACAUACGCAGAACCUCAGAGAAACAAGAAUAAAUAAGGAAAGCCUGCAGUAAGUCCCUGGCAUCUUGCCGGCAGCCCUGAAAGGAGAAGCAAAGGAUGAGAGGUGGGAGGGCACAUGACCGGGGCUGUCACACCGGGAAAGGGCUCCCUCUCUGUCUAGUGCUCCAAUCCAGGUGAGCCCGCCAUUGCUCCCCUCUGCGUUUACCCAACUUGAGGUCCCCAGGGCUGCGGUGGUGUGGGAGCUCUGGGGUCCCUCUCCCUUGACCUCCUGGCUAUGGACACAGCUAGCAAGUAUGUGUGUUGGUGGAGGUGUGGUGGACAUCCUGGGAUGUACCUGUUCUCAUA